CCUACGGGAGGCAGCAGUAGGGAAUCUUCGGCAAUGGCGGAAACCCUGACCGAGCAACGCCGCGUGAACGAAGAAGUUCUUCGUACUGUAAAGUUCUUUUAUCAGGGAAGAAAGAGAAUUUUGACGGUACCUGCAGAAUUAGCUCCGGCUAACUACGUGCCAGCCGCCGCGGUAGUACGUAGGGAGCGAGUGUUAUGCGGAAAUAUGGGGCGUAGAGGGUGCGUAGAUGGCAUAGUAAGUUGUGUGUAAACAUGCUGGGCUAAACCCAGUAGGGCAAAAGAUACUGCAAAGCUAGAGUGUGGAUGAGGCGAGUGGAACUACAUGUGUAGCGGUAAAAUGCAUAAAUAUAUGUAAGAACACCAGUGGCGAAGGCGGCUCGCUGGGUCGAUACUGACAUUGAGGCACGAAAGCGUGGGUAGCAAACAGGAUUAGAUACCCUGGUAGUC
rnacentral:rRNA from 1 species